ACAAAGUUAGUUGAAUCACUUUGUUACUGAGACAACGUCUAGUAAUAGUUUUAUCAACUAACAACCUGUUCGUUAAUCAAAACCGAUUUUGUGAUGUUUUCCUCAUCGUUUACCUCAUCCUUUUCCCCAUCAUCCUCAUCACAACCACUAGCACAACUUGCAACAGCAACAACAACACUUUCCUCAUCAUUAUCCUCACUGUCAUCCUUUGCAUCGCCAUCAGAAAAUUUGACUUCAAUUGACGAUCCAUUGAUAAAAGAGUAUGAAAAGUGUAAACAAGGAGUUCUUUCAAAUCCACCCAGUGAUCCAAGUUUAAAAUAUUGUCCACGAACCUUUGAUGGUUGGGGUUGCUGGAAUGACACACCGCCCGGUCAAACGGCCUACAUACCCUGUCCAAUGGCAGUGUUUGGAUUUCGAUCUGAUCGGUUUGCUUUUAAAAUUUGCCUGGAAGAUGGAACCUGGUUUCGCCAUCCAGUGACAAACAAAACUUGGAGCAACUACACAACUUGCAUUGACAAAGAUGAUCUCAAGUUUCGUCAAGCAGUAAAUAAUCUGUACAUUAUUGGAUACUCAAUCUCAGUUUUGGCUUUAAUCAUAUCUUUAAUCAUAUUCUUAUCAUUCAAAUCGCUUAAGUGUACAAGAAUAACAAUUCACAAAAAUUUAUUCAUUUCUUUCAUAAUCAACAAUCUAAUGUGGAUCAUGUGGUACACUUUGGUUGUUUCAAAUGUUGAAGUUGUCCAAUCAAACAGGUGGUACUGUCAGAUGCUCCAUGUUGUGGUCAAUUAUUUUUUACUAGCCAAUUAUUCAUGGACAUUCUGUGAAGGAUUGUAUCUUCAUACUCUUCUAGUUGUGGCCUUUGUGGCGGAAGAAAAGAUCAUGAAAUGGUUUUAUGUUAUUGGCUGGGGAAUCCCGUUGAUAUUUAUUGGCUUUUAUGCUGGAUUUCGUGGCUUAUCUUCAAAUGGCAAGACUAAUUAUUGCUGGAUUGACGAAAGUGCAUAUUCAUGGUGGUACACUGGACCAGUUCUUGUAUCUUUUGUGCUCAACUUAUUUUUCCUUGUAAACAUUGUUCGAGUGUUGGUAACCAAGAUGAGAGCAGUCAACUCUCCUGAUGCCCAUCAAACAAGGAAAGCGGUUAAAGCAACUCUCAUCUUACUUCCCUUGUUAGGGUUGCACUUCUUGGUUACACCAUUUCGACCUCCUGAGGGAACUCAUGCUGAGGAGGUUUAUGAGAUUGUUGCUGCCUUGGUUGCUUCACUUCAGGGUCUUUGCGUUGCAAUAUUGUUCUGUUUCUGCAAUGGCGAGGUUAUAGCGCAGUUCAAAAAAAGGUGGACACAAAUCGCAUUAACUCAUGGAGAUAACCGUAGGAUGUCUUAUGCUGCAACAAGUGUCUCGAGUGUUGCUCUUUAACAAGUACAUUCAACGUAAUUCGGACGCACACGCAACAAAGCCUUUAAAAGAAAAUGGAUUUGGAGAUAAAAGAUGAUUUCUUUGGACGCAAUCUCAUGGACUUUUGGUUCCAAUCUCAUCAGUUUAAUAGACAAAUUAACUUAUUAUAUCAAUUUGUACAAAAGGAGCAAAGUUGCUUAUUUUUUUAUAUCUGUGAUUAAAGUCUCUCAGAGUCUCCCUUGGAUUGUCAUCUAAUCAAAUAAUAACCUUUCACUUUGAGUAUCUUUUGUAAUAAUAUCGUCCAGUGUCAACAUUAACCUUUUUAUCCUCAUUAUCUUUCCAUUCUUCAUCUGACGAAUAUUCAUUCUCAUUUUCGAUUAAAAGAAACUUUUAUUCACAAAGUUCAUGUUAAAUAACUUGUGUAAACAGUUCAACAUUAAACUGUUUAAAUGAAGAGGAAGCAACUGAUUACCAUUAACUGUUGCCAAAUCAACAUUUCAAUGCUUUCAUUGAUAUUGAAAGUAAAUGUGUUUAAGUAAACAACAAAUUAAUCCAACACAAUCAACAAGGAAUCGUUGAAAGGCGCCUUCAAAGAUGAGUGAAUGGGAUUCGACUCUCAACUUGGAAUCGAAAGCGUAAAAAGGUUCAACCAACUAUUUUCAAACCUUCGUUUAUUGAUGUUGUACCGUUACCAAAACUACUGCCGAUCAUUGUUAAUAUUUCACUUGCUACCCAACUUAAGGCAACAAUUAUAAUCAACAGGGUAUUUAAACGAUAGUUUUUGUCUUCUUUGGCACUUCAAUCCUCGCAUCUUUGUUAAUGUUUUCACUUUCCAAUUGUAAUCUGUGAUGUUCAGUGUAUACAGAAAUAUAAAUAAAAUGUUGAUAAAAAACAGUAAA